GUUCUUUUCAACUAUGAGCUUGGAAAACCUCAAAGAACCAAUGCUAAAACAUCAGUCUGAGAAGGUGAUGCAACCAAACGCUAAUUGCAGACCUCUUAUAAAGUCAAACGUGAAUCUUCUACAAGAAGGUUGCUGCCAGGUGUAUGAAUGUCCCAACCUGUGUGCAUCAAAUCCAUCAAUCUCUUAGUAUAUAUAUUUCGUGUCAGCAAAGGAAUUAAUGAAGACAAUAAACAAAAGCUGUAUAAGAAUCUAGAACCCUAACCUCUGAAAAUUCUUGAACCAUGUUUCCUGGAUCUGUGGUGCUUAAAGUGUCUAUCAAAUCGACAUACAUCAUCAACGACAGAGUGAAUCCGUUUGCAACAGCAGCAAUCAGAAAAAUCUCUCAUUUGCUUGCAAAAUAAAAC
rnacentral:lncRNA from 1 species